rnacentral:lncRNA from 1 species
AUGAUUCCUCUUUUUCCUUCCGUACAUCGUCUUCUCGUUUUUCCCUCCUCCCCCACAGUGAGUCCCUGCUCUGCAGAGGUGUCUCCUCCGGAGGCAGUCUUGCGUCCUGCAGUGCUAGUUCCGCAGAGGAGGGCAACAGGAGAAACAACUAUGAUGGCUGCUUUGGUGCAGGGAUGGUUCUGUGCUGAGAUGGCAUUUGUUUCUGGCAGGAGCGGGGAGAACAUAACGCAGCUGGGUUAUUUACUUGAGCCACAACAGAAUAUUUUACUUCAUCUGCAUUAUUCAAUAAUGAAGCCAAGGCUUCCAGCAAAGGCCAGCAGAUGUCUCUUAAAAUUAUCCAGAGUCUCCUCUACAGUAUAA